rnacentral:rRNA from 1 species
UACGGGGGGGCAAGCGUUGUUCGGAAUUACUGGGCGUAAAGGGCUCGUAGGCGGCCAACUAAGUCGGAUGUGAAAUCCCCAGGCUUAACCUGGGAACUGCAUCCGAUACUGGAUGGCUUGAAUCCGGGAGAGGGAUGCAGAAUUCCAGGUGUAGCGGUGAAAUGCGUAGAUAUCUGGAGGAAUACCGGUGGCGAAGGCGGCAUCCUGGACCGGCAUUGACGCUGAGGAGCGAAAGCCAGGGGAGCAAACGGG